GAUGAACGCUGGCGGCGUGCCUAAUACAUGCAAGUCGAGCGAACAGACGAGGAGCUUGCUCCUCUGACGUUAGCGGCGGACGGGUGAGUAACACGUGGAUAACCUACCUAUAAGACUGGGAUAACUUCGUGAAACCGGAGCUAAUACCGGAUAAUAUAUUGAACCGCAUGGUUCAAUAGUGAAAGACGGUUUUGCUGUCACUUAUAGAUGGAUCCGCGCCGCAUUAGCUAGUUGGUAAGGUAACGGCUUACCAAGGCGACGAUGCGUAGCCGACCUGAGAGGGUGAUCGGCCACACUGGAACUGAGACACGGUCCAGACUCGUACGGGAGGCAGCAGUAGGGAAUCUUCCGCAAUGGGCGAAAGCCUGACGGAGCAAAGCCGCGUGAGUGAUGAAGGUCUUCGGAUCGUAAAACUCUGUUAUUAGGGAAGAACAAAUGUGUAAGUAACUAUGCACGUCUUGACGGUACCGAAUCAGAAAGCCACGGCUAACUACGUG
rnacentral:rRNA from 1 species